CAUGUAAAGCCGUCGUACUUAUUGAGGGAGGAGGAAGAGGAGAUGAGGUGUUGUGGAAAAUGACUAUUUGAGGCUAGACAGCUGAAAAAGGGGAGCUGGCUUUGGAAAUCACAACUGGAAACACGAGACUUCAGUCUAGACGUUGGCAAAAUGCUGCACAGCUCUUUUUCCAUAUCUCUCAACUCUCUCUUUCUAUUUUUAUGUCUGCCGAACUAUUUCUGUCACACUUAUUUUAUACCUUUUCUCUCCGUCUUCAUCACCAGGACGACUAAAGGUGAUUGCGUUGGCAUCAGCGGUGGGCGUGUCUGCUGGGCUCAUCACUCUGACAGUGGCCAUUAUGAUUAGUAAGAACAUGCACACAGUUGACAUGGAGUCAGUCGGAGCAGCAACCAAGCGGCCCUCAGUGACAACUGACACCAUUUUCUAUGAGGUGACCCAACCAACAGUGCCAGUGAGAGAAACCUUAAUGGCUGACAUACCAGAGGAACCUGAAGACUUGAGCGACAGCUCCCAUCCCGCAAUUGUUCCUCUGAAGGAUGCUCCUCCAACUACAGGAGCUGAAACACACAACCCUGCCUCCAAAUACAUUACAGUGCAUUACUCCAGACUGUCGAGGGGCGAGCAGGUCCGGUUCCAAAACCUGCCACUUGGGGGCGACAGGAAACCAAAGGAAUCCGCUUAAGUUGUUCACAGUCUGCGUCCUGCAGUUCUCACCACUGACAGGAGAAGUCAGUUGAGGUCUGACGUCCAUUUUUGCGUCAACGUAAGUGCAUAGAGGUUAAGGCAGUUUCGUUGACACUCACGGCCACAACAUUGGGUUCACCUACACGUUAUUUGUUCACAGAUAAGUGUCAAAGAUUGACAAAGACACAUGCAGGCUAAUGUCGGUCAUUAUCGUGGUAACAUCAUCGUUGUAAGGGCAGUCGUUUUCUUUGUCUUUUUACUUUAUUGAUUCUAGUUAACAUGUCUGCUUUAGAGUUUGGAGGUUUGAGUUGGUUUCUCAGCUCAGGCCUUCCUGUGUCGGGUUUGCAUGUUCUUCCCGUGCUUCCGUGGGCUUUUCUCCAGGCACUCCGACUUGCUCCCACAUUCAAAUCCCACAAUAUGCAUGAUCGGUUCACUCAAAUUGUUCAUAGGUGUGAAUGUGAGUGUGAAUGUUUGUUUGUUUUUUUAUUUGAUUAGAUCUCAGGUCGUGGUAAUCUACAAUGGUUAAAUUGAGGCAGCUGGACUCAGUUUGUUUGUUGAAGACCUUCGCCUUUAAUCCAAAAGUCUUCUUAAAUUUUAAUUGUCUAAAUGUGGAGUCCAUUUUCAGUAUGUCACUGGUGGGUGGGUGUCCCUGGGGUGCUCACAAUAGCGUUGUUGUUAUUGUUGCUGAUGCUGCUGCCAGGCAUGGCUGGUGAACCACCGGGUGACAUGCAGGAUCGUUCACCGGCCUGAUGACAAAACGGCUGAUUCGUACCCACUCUUCCCUACUGGCUACCCUCUUAGAAUGACACAAUGUAAUAACAUAGUUGUAAGCAGAAAGUGUUCUUAGGUUUGUUACCUAUGCUGGUUCAACUCAAAGGACAAAUUUCUGAGAAGCAAACUCUUGCACUGGAAUUUAGUGAGGGGUGAAAUGACCUCUACUUUGGAGGAAACAAGCAACCGCCUACACAAACACAUGGCUCAACAGCAGAUAUUUCGGGUCCAGAGCCAGCAGGUCAUUUGCAUCUUAUAAAGACAGGCGUUCCUUUGAGGACAAUUAUGUCCACAUACCGGAAAGGGAAGCCCACUGGUUUCAAAGAGCUGUACAAGACGCGAUCUAUGACUAUGUUUACAUAUCGUGAGUAACCCUUUCAAAAAGUAUUGGCAAUAUUUGGGUU